GAUGAAGAACGCAGCGAAAUGCGAUAAGUAAUGCGAAUUGCAGAAUUCCAGUGAGUCAUCGAAUCUUUGAACGCACAUUGCGCCCUUUGGUAUUCCGAAGGGCAUGCCUGUUCGAGCGUCAUUAUCACCCCUCAAGCCCUCGGCUUGGUGUUGGACGGUUUGGUGGAGGCCCCCUCGGGGGUUCCUGCCCCUCCCAAAGACAAUGACGGCGGCCUCGUUGGACCCCCGGUACACUGAGUUCUUCACGGGACACGUAUCGGACACAUGGGUUUACGGGACACGGUCUGCCUCCCCUCAGGGAGAAUCUUUCUAAGGUUGACCUCGGAUCAGGUAGGGAUACCCGCUGAACUUGAGCAUAUCAAUAAGCGGAGGA
rnacentral:misc_RNA from 1 species